rnacentral:rRNA from 1 species
UCACUCCUACGGGAGGCAGUAGUGAGGAAUAUUGGUCAAUGGGCGGAAGCCUGAACCAGCCAAGUCGCGUGAGGGAAUAAGGCCCUACGGGUCGUAAACCUCUUUUGCCGGGGAGCAAGGGCCGGGACGCGUCCCGGCCCGGAGAGUACCCGGAGAAAAAGCAUCGGCUAACUCCGUGCCAGCAGCCGCGGUAAUACGGAGGAUGCGAGCGUUAUCCGGAUUUAUUGGGUUUAAAGGUGUCGUAGGCGGGCUUUUAAGUCAGCGGUAAAAAUUCGGGGCUCAACCCCGUCCGGCCGUUUAAACUG